rnacentral:rRNA from 1 species
GUCUAUGGCCAUACCACCCUGAACGCAUCCGAUCUCGUCUGAUCUCGGAAGCUAAGCAGGGUCGGGCCUGGUUAGUACUUGGAUGGGAGGAAUAAGAACAAAGAUA